GUGCCUACGGGAGGCAGCAGUGAGGAAUAUUGGUCAAUGGACGAGAGUCUGAACCAGCCAAGUAGCGUGAAGGAUGACUGCCCUAUGGGUUGUAAACUUCUUUUAUAUGGGAAUAAAAUGUUCCACGUGUGGGAUUUUGUAUGUACCAUAUGAAUAAGGAUCGGCUAACUCCGUGCCAGCAGCCGCGGUAAUACGGAGGAUCCGAGCGUUAUACGGAUAUUUUGGGGUUAAAGGGAGUGUAGGUGGAUUGUUAAGUCAGUCGUGAAAGUUUGCGGCUCAACCGUCAGAUUGCAGAUGAAACUGGG
rnacentral:rRNA from 1 species